GCUGACACGUCCCGGCCAAUCUCCAGCAGACCCUCCCUCCCAGACCUUCCUACUUCCUGGACAGCAUCCAUGUUGAAACUCGUACACAUAUUGAAACAUGGAUGCUGUCCAGGAAGUAGGAGGGUCUGGGAGGGAGGGUCUGCUGGAGAUUGGCCGGGACGUGUCAA